UCACGGUGGAGAAGUUGUUAUGUGUGCUUAAUUUUGAUGUUGUUAUAUGUGCUUUUCAAGUCAUCAAGCUUGAGUUGUUCAAAGGAAGCAUAACUUCCAAUACUGAUAUGUGUUUGAUGUUGUUAUGUGGGGUUUAUUAUGUGGGGUUUAUUAAAUGUUUGCUCAAAGGAAGAUUUUGAUGUUGUUUGAUGUUCAAAGGAAGCUUUUGAUGUUGUUAUGUGGGGUUUAUUAUGUGUUUGUUCAAAGGAAGCUUUUGAUGUUGUUAUGUGGGGUUUAUUAUGUGGGUUUUAUUAUGUGUUUGUUCAAAGAAAGCUUUUGAUGUUAUUUGAUGUUCAAAGGAAGUUUUUGAUGUUGUUAUGUGGGGUUUAUUAUGUGUUUGUUCGUGCUAUAUGUUUGAUGUUGCUAAGUCUGUUACAUGAGCCUUAUGUUUAUAUCAUUGUUUGCUU
rnacentral:lncRNA from 1 species